CGGCAACAGCUCAAAUUUGAAAUCUGGCCUUUGGCCCGAGUUGUAAUUUGUAGAGGAUGCUUUUGGUGAGGUGCCGCCCGAGUUCCCUGGAACGGGACGCCACAGAGGGUGAGAAUCCCGUACGUGCCCGGUGGCCGCCCCCGUGUGAAGCUCCUUCGAC
rnacentral:rRNA from 1 species